rnacentral:rRNA from 1 species
CGGCGAGUGAAGCGGGAUGAGCUCAAGCUUAAAAUCUCCGUGCAAAUUUUGCAUGGCGAAUUGUAGUCUAUAGAGGCGUGAUUAGCGUAGGCACUUGGGGCAAGUUCCUUGGAAGAGGACAGCAUCGAGGGUGAUACUCCCGUUUAUCUCCGAGUUGCUUAUGCGUACAAUCCGUUUUCUUUGAGUCGCGUUGUUUGAGAAUGCAGCGCAAAGUAGGUGGUAAAUUCCAUCUAAAGCUAAAUAUUGGUGCGAGACCGAUAGCAAACAAGUACCGUGAGGGAAAGAUGAAAAGAACUUUGAAAAGAGAGUUAAAGAGUACCUGAAACUGCUGAAAGGGAACCAAAUCGUUUCUAGUGUCUAUAAUCCGUGGUAUAUUUCAUUGGCGAAUGUGUGCGUGCAUGUACUAUGGCAGYGGCUUUUUGCUGCGCCUUGUGCGUGUGUGUGCACUUUCUCGCUGAUGCCCUGUACCGUGGUGGGACGUCAAUGUCGGUUCGUAAAUUGCGGAAAAUGACUGCCGAGGAGGUAGGGCGAACGCUUGCGUUUGUCUGUUAUAUCUUGGCGGACGUAGUAGUCGCGGUUGGGACUGAGGUGCCUACAAUGUGCUUAUGAGUAGAAUUGAUUCUUCGUGUGCGCCGUGUGCGGAUAGCUUGCUAUGCGUGUGUGGCUGUGUGUGGAUUGA